rnacentral:rRNA from 1 species
GCCGCGUGAGUGAGGAAGGUUUUCGGAUCGUAAAGCUCUGUCAGAAGGGAAGAAGUGUUAUAUGGUUAAUACCCAUAUAAUUUGACGGUACCUUCAGAGGAAGCACCGGCUAACUCCGUGCCAGCAGCCGCGGUAAUAAUCACU